rnacentral:tRNA from 1 species
GGUAUUAUAGUUUAUAUAAAAAUUCUAAAUUGCAAAUUUAGAGAAAAACUUUGUUUUAAUACUU